GUUCAAACACAGGUUCCCUUACGAUCACCAAAGUUAAGCAACGUCGAGCCUCGUCAGUACCUAUAUGGAUGAGUGCUGGGGAAUACUGGGUGUUGUAA